CAAGUCGAGGGGUAUAGUAGCAAUACUAGAGACCGGCGCACGGGUGCGUAACGCGUAUGCAAUCUACCUUAUACAGAGGGAUAGCCCAGAGAAAUUUGGAUUAAUACCUCAUAGCAUAGCAACUUCGCAUGAAGUCACUAUUAAAGUUCCAACGGUAUAAGAUGAGCAUGCGUCCUAUUAGCUAGAUGGUAAGGUAACGGCUUACCAUGGCUACGAUAGGUAGGGGUCCUGAGAGGGAGAUCCCCCACACUGGUACUGAGACACGGACCAGACUCCUACGGGAGGCAGCAGUGAGGAAUAUUGGACAAUGGGCGCAAGCCUGAUCCAGCCAUGCCGCGUGCAGGAAGACGCAUCUAUGGUGUGUAAACUGCUUUUGUACGGGAAGAAACACUCCCUCGUGAGGGAGCUUGACGGUACCGUAAGAAUAAGGAUCGGCUAACUCCGUGCCAGCAGCCGCGGUAAUACGGAGGAUCCAAGCGUUAUCCGGAAUCAUUGGGUUUAAAGGGUCCGUAGGCGGUUUGGUAAGUCAGUGGUGAAAGCCCAUCGCUUAACGAUGGAACGGCCAUUGAUACUGCCAGACUUGAAUUACUGGGAAGUAACUAGAAUAUGUAGUGUAGCGGUGAAAUGCUUAGAUAUUACAUGGAAUACCAAUUGCGAAGGCAGGUUACUACCGGUGGAUUG
rnacentral:rRNA from 1 species